CAGCCGCCACGGUAACACCAGCACCUCGAGUGGUCAGGAGGUUUAUUGGGCCUAAAGCAUCCGUAGCCGGUUGCAUAAGUUUUCGGUUAAAUCUAUGCGCUUAACGUAUAGGCCGCCGAAAAUACUGUGCAGCUAGGGAGUGGGAGAGGUACACGGUACUCGAUAGGAAGGGGUAAAAUCCUUUGAUCUAUUGAUGACCACCUGUGGCGAAGGCGGUGUACCAGAACACGUUCGACGGUGAGGGAUGAAAGCUGGGGGAGCAAACCGGAUUAGAUACCCGUGUAUCCCUGUCUCUUAUACA
rnacentral:rRNA from 1 species